rnacentral:rRNA from 1 species
UACAGAGGGGGCAAGCGUUGUUCGGAAUUACUGGGCGUAAAGGGCGCGUAGGCGGCCAAUUAAGUCCGACGUGAAAUCCCCAGGCUUAACCUGGGAACUGCGUCGGAUACUGAUUGGCUUGAAUCCGGGAGAGGGAUGCGGAAUUCCAGGUGUAGCGGUGAAAUGCGUAGAUAUCUGGAGGAACACCGGUGGCGAAGGCGGCAUCCUGGACCGGCAUUGACGCUGAGGCGCGAAAGCCAGGGGAGCAAACGGG